AAAUUGAAGAGUUUGAUCAUGGCUCAGAUUGAACGCUGGCGGCAGGCCUAACACAUGCAAGUCGAACGGUAGCACAGAGAGCUUGCUCUCGGGUGACGAGUGGCGGACGGGUGAGUAAUGUCUGGGAAACUGCCUGAUGGAGGGGGAUAACUACUGGAAACGGUAGCUAAUACCGCAUAAUGUCGCAAGACCAAAGAGGGGGACCUUCGGGCCUCUUGCCAUCGGAUGUGCCCAGAUGGGAUUAGCUAGUAGGUGGGGUAAUGGCUCACCUAGGCGACGAUCCCUAGCUGGUCUGAGAGGAUGACCAGCCACACUGGAACUGAGACACGGUCCAGACUCCUACGGGAGGCAGCAGUGGGGAAUAUUGCACAAUGGGCGCAAGCCUGAUGCAGCCAUGCCGCGUGUAUGAAGAAGGCCUUCGGGUUGUAAAGUACUUUCAGCGAGGAGGAAGGCAUUGUGGCUAAUAACCGCAGUGAUUGACGUUACUCGCAGAAGAAGCACCGGCUAACUCCGUGCCAGCAGCCGCGGUAAUACGGAGGGUGCAAGCGUUAAUCGGAAUUACUGGGCGUAAAGCGCACGCAGGCGGUCUGUUAAGUCAGAUGUGAAAUCCCCGGGCUCAACCUGGGAACUGCAUUUGAAACUGGCAGGCUUGAGUCUUGUAGAGGGGGUAGAAUUCCAGGUGUAGCGGUGAAAUGCGUAGAGAUCUGGAGGAAUACCGGUGGCGAAGGCGGCCCCCUGGACAAAGACUGACGCUCAGGUGCGAAAGCGUGGGGAGCAAACAGGAUUAGAUACCCUGGUAGUCCACGCCGUAAACGAUGUCGACUUGGAGGUUGUGCCCUUGAGGCGUGGCUUCCGGAGCUAACGCGUUAAGUCGACCGCCUGGGGAGUACGGCCGCAAGGUUAAAACUCAAAUGAAUUGACGGGGGCCCGCACAAGCGGUGGAGCAUGUGGUUUAAUUCGAUGCAACGCGAAGAACCUUACCUACUCUUGACAUCCAGAGAACUUGCCAGAGAUGGCUUGGUGCCUUCGGGAACUCUGAGACAGGUGCUGCAUGGCUGUCGUCAGCUCGUGUUGUGAAAUGUUGGGUUAAGUCCCGCAACGAGCGCAACCCUUAUCCUUUGUUGCCAGCGGUCCGGCCGGGAACUCAAAGGAGACUGCCAGUGAUAAACUGGAGGAAGGUGGGGAUAACGUCAAGUCAUCAUGGCCCUUACGAGUAGGGCUACACACGUGCUACAAUGGCGCAUACAAAGAGAAGCGACCUCGCGAGAGCAAGCGGACCUCAUAAAGUGCGUCGUAGUCCGGAUUGGAGUCUGCAACUCGACUCCAUGAAGUCGGAAUCGCUAGUAAUCGUAGAUCAGAAUGCUACGGUGAAUACGUUCCCGGGCCUUGUACACACCGCCCGUCACACCAUGGGAGUGGGUUGCAAAAGAAGUAGGUAGCUUAACCUUCGGGAGGGCGCUUACCACUUUGUGAUUCAUGACUGGGGUGAAGUCGUAACAAGGUAACCGUAGGGGAACCUGCGGUUGGAUCACCUCCUUACCUUAAAGAA
rnacentral:rRNA from 1 species